rnacentral:rRNA from 1 species
CCUACGGGUGGCAGCAGUGAGGAAUAUUGGUCAAUGGACGAGAGUCUGAACCAGCCAAGUAGCGUGAAGGAUGACUGCCCUAUGGGUUGUAAACUUCUUUUAUAUGGGAAUAAAACGUUCCACGUGUGGGAUUUUGUAUGUACCAUAUGAAUAAGGAUCGGCUAACUCCGUGCCAGCAGCCGCGGUAAUACGGAGGAUCCGAGCGUUAUCCGGAUUUAUUGGGUUUAAAGGGAGCGUAGGUGGAUUGUUAAGUCAGUUGUGAAAGUUUGCGGCUCAACCGUACAAUUGCAGUUGAAACCGGCAGUCUUGAGUACAGUAGAGGUGGGCGGAAUUAGUGGUGUAGCGGUGAAAUGCUUAGAUAUCACGAAGAACUCCGAUUGCGAAGGCAGUUCACUGGACUGCAACUGACACUGAGGCUCGAAAGUGUGGGUAUCAAACAGGAUUAGAUACCCUUGUAGUC